GCCUGGAUAGCUCAGUUGUUAGAGCGUGGUGAUGACGACACCAAGGUUGCAGGUUCGAUCCCUGUAUGGGGCA